rnacentral:rRNA from 1 species
CCUACGGGUGGCGGCAGGGAGGAAUAUUGGUCAAUGGACGAGAGUCGGAACCAGCCAAGUAGCGUGAAGGAUGACUGCCCUAUGGGUUGUAAACUUCUUUUAUAUGGGAAUAAAACAGGGUAUGCAUACCCUCUUGUAUGUACCAUAUGAAUAAGGAUCGGCUAACUCCGUGCCAGCAGCCGCGGUAAUACGGAGGAUGCGAGCGUUAUCCGGAUUUAUUGGGUUUAAAGGGUGCGUAGGCGGACUGUUAAGUCGGCGGUAAAAGCCCGGGGCUAAACCCCGGCGGGCCGUUGAAACUGGCUGUCUUGAGCUGACGAGAGGUAGGCGGAAUGCGCGGUGUAGCGGUGAAAUGCUUAGAUAUUGCGCAGAACUCCGAUUGCGAAGGCAGCAUACCGGAGGCGAUCUGACGCUGAGGCUCGAAAGCGUGGGGAGCAAACAGGAUUAGAUACCCCAGUAGUC